GCAGGAGAAUUGCAUCUAGAAAUUUGUUUAAAAGAUCUCCAGGAUGAUUUUAUGAACGGUGCUG
rnacentral:tRNA from 1 species